rnacentral:lncRNA from 1 species
UGCAAUUCCUGUUUUAAGAAUACUUGCCCAAAUAAUGGCUGCAUUGUCACCUCGGUCACUUUAAAAUAUGGGCUCCACAUUUCACCUUCCCCUCACACCACAUAUAUUUACACGAUGCAAUAAAAGAUUGUAUGUCAAUCUCAUGCCUUGUUUUGAAAUCGAUUAAGUAAAAAAUGGUACCCUUAUGUGUGCACUUGCCAGAGAGGUGCAUUCAAUACUUCCCUACUUGAGGGGAUCGCAUAUACUAAAUUAAAAUGCAGUGAUCACAUCACAAAUUAUAAAUUGUUUUCUUAAUUUACACACACCGUACACCUGCUUUCCCAAAUCGGCAUUACCAUAUCACCAUAUAUCCAACCUUUAGGCGCAACAGGCAACCUACAAUUGGAGUGAUGGUUUAGUAAGAAAGAACAUUUAGCACAAAGAAAGAUGAAUUUUGAAAGAAAAAAACUUAGAAAAAAUUGAUGCUCGACUCACUACUAAUACCAUCUAAUAAUAUGCAAGAUAGUAAUAAGAGGUCAAGCCAAUCAAGUGAAAGACGUUUGAACUGGAAUUAGACACAUUGUACAUCAUCAAUCAUUAGGAGCUGGACCCCAUAGAAUCUUUUCGGGUUCAGUUGUAUGAUUAGAAUUUGGCUUCAAACUAACUAAACUAAAGAGUUUUUUUUUCUUGUCCACCCUUCAGUUGCCAAAUUAUGAUUCAUAAAGUUAUAGCGCAUCUUGGAAAUGUUAUAAUAGUUUUGGUUACACGGUUCAUGAUAUACCUAUGGAUAUUAUACUGACUGAUAGUCCAUGGUUCAUUUGAGCUCACUUUGGCGCGAAUGCAGUGAUGAAGGUUCGACAUGCAGUUUCGGAUUUCCCUUCUCAUUCAGUGCAGCUUCCCUCAUGAUGUAUGCCACAUGCUAAUAUGAACUUUCUCAUUGUAUAUAAAUUUUCAUGAGAGAAAAAGAGAAAAGAUGCUCCAGUUUUCCUUGCAGCUCAAUUUUCACACCCUUCCCAGGUUAAUAUUCACUAUUUUCUUUGGACCAUCUUUAUGCUGCCUUUUCUCUGUACACACCUCAUCAAAACUGAACAAAGAGGCAUCACAUAGGUUUAGAUGGCGCGUGUGAACAUGGUUUAAGAUAUGAUGUUUCUUGGAGAGAGCAAACUUACCUUUUCCAUUUCAUGGUUUAUUAACUAAAAUAUUGAUCGACGGCACAUUCUGAUGCUUCAGCUUUGUUUUUGCCUUCUUGUCACUUAAUUAGGCACUAUAGUAAGAAAGCAUACUGAAUGAGACUCGAAGGAAUUUUGAUGUCAACUUGUAAUUAGCAAAACUUAAAAUGAUCUCUUUAAACAAGUAUCAGAUUAAAGAAACCAAUAUAGAACCAUAUUAAAUAGGGACUGAGCUUAGCUGGAAGGUGAGAAAGAAAUUACAAUUGCUAUUGGUGCAACAUUACAAAAUUUAGCUUAGCUAUCUAUCAGAUUUCUUGACUCAAAUUCCAGCUAGCAAAGAAGAAGAAUGAAUCCCCAGAAAAACCAUGCUAAACGAAAUAGAGACUCAUCGAUUGACCUCAAUCACAUUAUUUGUUAAAUAGAGACUGAGCAAAGAGGGAAGGUCAGAAAGAAAUUACAAUUGCUAUUGGUGCAACAAUACAAAUUUUAGCUUAGCUAUCUAUCAGAUUUCUUGACGCAAAUUCUAGCAAGCAAAGACGAAGAUUGAAUCCCCAAAAAUCCAUGCUAAACCAAAUAGAGACUCAUUGAUUUACCUCAAUUAAAUUGUUUAUAAAACAUUGUACAUGAACUUGUUUUAAAUACAUGACAAAAUCUAGCUGAGCUAAACCUUCCUGGAAUCUUAUGUGGAUUUUUAGAGUUUAGACCAAGGAGAAAUGGGGAAAUAAUUCAUGAUAGAGGGUAGUGCAUGCAGGAGCCUCCGAAUAGCGGGUAGCCUAGCGAGGUUUGUAGGAAAAAGGUGGCUUUUGUCUCAUCAGUGAGUUUGUUGCCCAAUGCCCGUGCUACUGAUAUAAUGUCGUUCAUGACAUACCUCGCCCAGUUCCAAUUUGGGAUGUCAUCUAAAUUUUCAAGAGCCACAAAAUAUGCUGGAAGAAUAACUACAGAUCAAAUGGACCUCAAACUUUAUCUCACCGUGAACACCACAUAAAUCACAUUCUAACAUGGAGGCCUCAGCCAUCGCCAAGGCAUCUCAUGGAACAUGGGGGAAACUCCAAAUCGAACAGAGCAACACAAAAAUAGGAAUCAGGCAUGAGGAAAGGGGAAUAAGCUAACCUGGGUAAUGGGAUCAGCAGGUCGAGGAGGGUGCCACCGUGCCAGCGGCCUCCACAAGGAUAAUCUUGCACACGAUGUCGCCUCAAGCAAUGGAUCGCAACCACCAGAACCGAAGCACUUGUUGUUCAUGGUUUCAGUUAUGAGAUAUCCCGUCAACUGAGGUACAAAUCACAAAUAGGUCAGCUCACGAGCUAAAGAAUAUAAUCUUAUCCAAGAAAAGACAAAAUAGUCCAGAGCAGCAAAGCUUUAUUAAGUUCUUUACUAAGAAAGCGAACUUAGUAAUUACAGCCCAAACAGAGAAUAAAUGGUUUAGAACAGGCAUAAAUCUGAUCCAUCUUCCAUCAUCAAUAAUAAAGAUAGGAAAUCUUGAAAUCCUUGAUCCAAACAUCAGAAGUCACAAAAGUCGAAGCAAACAGUGAACUGAAAAUUACUCCGAAAAAAACUUUUAUUUUGUUGACUCUAGACGAAGCCCAUGCUUUGUUGUCCUGGCAAUACAACAAAUUACUGGCCCAAGCUUGAAGUACUAACAAGAACGAAUCCCUUUCGUUAUUAAUUCAUUCAAUGAACAGCAGAGAAAAUGGAUGCUUGUGCAGGCAUCGUAAUGAAUGGUACUUGAUUUAGAGAAAUAACUAUGCUAAUAUAUGACUUCGCUAACUAAUCAAUCUGCUGCAAUCACAGUUGGUGCAUAACACUAAACGAGCACUUGUGAUCAGGGCAACGGUUAUAGAUAAGUAAAGAGAAAUUACAAAACAAGGUAUGACGAGACUACCAAAUCAGCCUGAGAAAGUAGAAAGUAGGAUCAACGGAAACAUAACAAAGGAAACAGAAUAAUGAAUAUUUAGUGGAGAUGAGCUAGUUGAACCUACAGGCCAGAGGAAGAGCUCACCGGAAGGUUAGGCCAGCGAAUUUGGGACCGAUCCCUAGAAGGAAGAAGCGAAGAACUAAAGAACACAUCUUGUUCACGCCUAACUAUGUUGUGCAAUUGUGCCGAUGGCCUCGUCGUCUAAGGCAAAUACAUGUCUCCAUCAUAAAUCAAAAGCGUGAACUGGGAGGACUUCUGCAAUUGCUAAGCGAAUCAUGCAUACAACCAUGACAGUGGCUACAAAUUUGAGUUUCUUCACCUCCCGAUGCAAUUACAACAUAUGAUUAUGCACAUAUAUAAUAGUAGUAUGAUGGAUUAACUACCAUCAAGAAGAGAACAUAAACUGACAGAUUUUCCGGUAAAAAAAACUGGCUGCAUUAAUGUUUACCUUUCCCACUGCAUAACCAAAUGUCAUUAACUAUCAAAUUAGUCGCAAAUAAGCCAAAUAUCACCAACGGGUUGCUACCUUGAUGCUUUAUAUUUCUUCUAUGUGUCUUGCUGUCCCCUUCAAGUAACUGACGCGCCCGGUCGAUCCCAAAGGUUGCUAUUUCCUUGUGGAGUUUCUUAUUGACAUAGAUCUGAACAAAAAUGGAGGGACCAAAUAAAUUUCAGAUUUAGGAGUCAGGAACUAACAGUUGUAAAUCCACACCAAUGAACACAAAUACAACCUGAUUAUGUGGCAGACCUUUAACAGGAAAGGUAAAAUCUGUAGCAUAGUUUGCAACUUAAAAUUAUAGGUCACUAAAGUGCAUGCCACAACAUAAGCAAAAUUCAUCUAACAAACCUCGAGCUUGUGUACGACUGUCUUAUUAAGCACAUCAUGCUGACAUGCAAACUCGUGAUUGGAAAAAAGAAGUUACUCUAGCGAAAACUGGUGCUAAGCAGUAAUGGGAGCUAGAGGGAGCACCGCUUCUGAACAUUCUAAAACAAUGAAAAGGCGUGCUUACAUCUAUGAAGCUAAAAAUAGUACACCGAACCAUAUUGAUUGAAUACGGGUAACAACGGAAAAACAAUUAAUUGGAGUGCAGAAUCUGCAUAGAAUAGAACCGGAACACAUCAAUCUAGGCAUCUAACUAGCUUCUGCCAUCAGGGUUGCUUGCUAAUUGCAACAAUAUUCAUAACUGAAGAUUCAAUGAGAACUACCAAGGGAUAAAAAAAGGGAACUGAAUCUGUUCACUCAAUGUGUGCAUGACCUGCAAUGUCCUCACAUAUGAGUAAUUCAUCAAAGAAACCAUAAAAAAUUCAUCAAACAAAAAACACAAAUGGAAGGCAAGCUUACCUGAAUGGGGAUUGCCCGUGACCUGGAUCUCGUCGUUCGCGUGCUGGUGAUCUGCUACUAUUUGAACAACAACUCUGCCCGCUGAUGCUGUCCAAACUGUGCAAAUUUAUCCAUACUAUCCCUGCAAUUGUUAAGAUCAAAAUCAGCAUCUUUUACAACUAAUGCAGAGUAUGAAUUUCUCGGCAGACAAAAAAGGCUUUGUAGAUUCAGUAUAGUUGACACAAACAAAAUGCAGUACCUGCUUUCCUCAAGAACCCGUGUCUGAAAGAUGUGGAGAGAAAAUUGCAAAAUAUGAGCAUUAGUACUUCUUAGGUAUCACAGAAAUUCAAUGCAACUUCAACAAGACCAGCGCUUGCUUUUCACACUAUUGAAAAUUCACGUCUUCCAUAUUUGAUCCACCUUUCCGCUGGGCAAAACAACAAAUAUGUGGGGGCAAAAUAUCUAUUUAUGCUCAGAAAAGAAAUUACCAAAUAUCCGGCCACGAGCGCGUGUGUGAGAGGACCGAGGAGAGAGUGUGCGUGACAGCGAGAGAGGAUGAAGGCAAGGACGUGGGGGCUGAUCUCUCGGGUGGAUGGACGGCAGCGCGAAAGCCGGACGGAGCUGGCCGUCUCUGCAGCCCACGCUCCUCUUGCCGACGAUGGCGCCGUGGACCACCGCUGCGACUCAAGCUCCUCCCGGGGUCGCUGCUGCACGCGUGGAGAUGGAGGCGGGGUGCAGCCUUCCGUGCAUCGCGCACGAGCCCCAGCCUCCUCGCAGCUCCCGAUCCAGGAACGGGUCGAGCCGCCGCCAACCGUCAGAUCGAGCCCGACCUCGCCGGCGCAGGCCGACGCCGGCCGGUGACCCUCUCCCGUCAGCCGCCACACCUCACUCUCCUCUUCCCUCUCUCUUUCUCCCUCCUCUCCUUCCUUCUCUCUCUCUCAUCUUCUCUCUCUGCCGGGGUUCGUGCGGGAGGAGGGGAUUGGGAAGGCGGCGCAAAGGAGAGGGAGGAAGGAGAGGAGGCAGUGCGGAUAUUUUCUAGGGCUCGGCUCACUCCACCCAGAACGAGGUACACCUUAGUCAUGAUAAAAAGCAACUGAUUACUG